rnacentral:tRNA from 1 species
GGGGCUUUGGGGCAUAAACGGAUUAGACCAGGUGUUAAAUCCUGCAUUAGGCAGCGCCUGGCACGAGGGUUCGACUCCCUCAUGCCCCUA